AUUUAGCCACAUGCAAAAAAUUUGAAGCCAUCAUUUACUGUUUUUUCAUGGUGUCUGUCUGUUACAGAGCCUGUGAAUGACUGCGUUUCAGGAGAGCAGCAUGUGUAGGACAAAUUGGGUUUCUGUAAGGAGCAAGAUGAAUUUGUAGCUCUAGUCUGGCACAAAUGGAUGCUGAAAUGGCAUUGCAACUGAACGUGAACAAAAAACAGAGAUGAUUUGUGUUUGUUUCCUGAUGAUCAUAUAUCCACCACUCAGACCUGGUUGCUGAUGAAGUUUAGGACAAAGUGGUUCAGAUGUUGUCAAUGCCAAAACUCUGAAGAAACAGGAACCCUACUGUAUGGGGCUGCUGAAUCACGGCCUGAACCUCUGAUUGAUCACCUGAGGCAAGCAAUGAGUCAGCCACGGGAGCGCAGGUGAAGGCAAUUCACCUGUGCUAUUGGAAGGGGUGGAGCCUGGCUGCACCUCUCCUAGACCCAUUUAAGAGCUGACUGCCACUGUGGAAGGAUCUCUCUGGAGAUCCGCUCCAUCGGAGUUCAUCUCGUGAGCCCAGGACAGGGUGAGUGACUUUUCUCUCAUUACUCCAAUAUAAAUUAUAUUAGCCAAGCUCCCGGAUAUAUAUAUGUGUGUGUGUGUGUAUAUGUGUGUGUGUGUAUA
rnacentral:lncRNA from 1 species